GCUGCAUCCUGAGAAGAUGUUUCCAUACAAGAAGUUCCCUGCAGAAAUGAACUCACAGAUCUGCACCAGAAAGGAGGGUUCUCCCUCAGACAGACAGAGAGACAGAUCCAGAGACAGAGAAAUGGAUGCAAUCACAGACAGACAGAGAAGAGAGAUAGAGACAGAAAAGAGAGGAUAGAUGAUAGAUAUAUAAAUACAUACAGAAAUACAGAAAAACAUAAACACAUGGAUAGACAGACAGAUAUGGACAGUUAUACAAUGAAUUUAUUUUUAGAUGAGGAUAAUCAUGUUAAGAAAGGAAAGGCCGCUGGAUUUGGCAUCAGAGGACCUGGAUUUAAAUUACAGUUCAGCUUUGGAAACACCUUACUGAGCUGGAUACUCUUCCCAAUUUAGGAUGAAAAGAUGAAGUCUGUCUAUUGGCUACUCCACACAUUAACAUUAACCUUUCAUGGAUUUUAUGCUGAGUCAUAUAAACUGGAAAUUGUGCAAGCCCUAUAUUUCAGGUCUAUUGUGCACUAACCCUAUGAAAGGAGAGUGCUAUGCAGUGAAGGAGAAAGGGGCUUUGAAAAAGACUAAUAGUAAGAAGACUCAAGGAUUGUGAACAAAGGAUAUAGAUGAUCACAUUCAGUGGAUGACAUCAGCAGAAGCUUCAUGGAGAUGGUGUGGCACUGGAAUUGGCCCUUGAAGGAAGAAUAGCAUUUCUUUUUUUAUUAAUUUUUUUUAUUUUCAAAAUAUAUGCAUGAAUAAUUUUUCAACAUUGACUCUUACAUAGCCUUGUGUUUCAGAUUUUCUCCUCCUUCCCCCCAUCUCUUCCCCUAGAUGGCAAGUAAUCCAAUGUAUGUUAUAGAUGAUAAUAAAAUAUAUGUUAAAUCCAAUAUAUGUAAACAUAUUUGUACAAUUAUCUUGCUGCACAAGAAAGAUCAAAUCAAAAAGGAAAGAAAAUAAAUAAGAAAACAAAAUGAAAAUGAACAACAACACAAAGAGUGAGAAGGUUAUAUUGUUAUCCAUACUCAGUUUCCACAGACCUCUCUCUGGGUAAUGAUGGCUCUCUUCAUCACAAGAUCAUUGAAAUUGGCCUCAAUCAUCUCGUUGUUGGAAAAAAGCUACCUCUAGCAGAACUGAUCAUUGUAUAAUAUUGCUGUUGACAUGUACAAUGAUCUGGUUCUGCUCAUUUCACUUAGCAUCAGUUCAGGCCUCUCUGAAAUCAUACUCCUGACCAUUUCUUAUAGAAUAAUAAUAUUUCAUAACAAGAAUAGCAUUUCAAAAGAUGAAAAUGGGGAGGGAAUAUGUUCCAGCUAUAAGAGAUAUCCUAAAAAAAACAUACAGAGGUAUGAUAACACAGGUAAGAUAGCACAGAAUAUUUGAGGAUAGCACAGAACUCAUUAGUGGGAUUUUCAUUCCCCAGGCUUGGAAUACUUCACCUUCAUAUUAUAGAAUCUCUCACAUUCUUCAAAAUACAACUCAAGCAUCACCUUCUGUAAGAAGUCGUUCCUCAUUUCCUGAAUUACUAUUGCCCUACUUCCCUAUAUUUUUUGGUAUGUGGUAUGUGUGUGUGUGCGCGUAAGUGUGUACAUGUGCAAACACAAGCAUGAAUUUAUAAGUGUAUGAGUAUAUAUACCCACACAUGUGUAUAUACCCUAUACAUAUGUAUGCAUAUAUGUGUGCAUGCAACCAAAAUAUAUAUAAUAUGUAAAAACUUUUAAUGUAUAUAUAAAAGUAUAUAUACAUACAACACAUAUAUAUUCAUUUGGUAAAU